GCUGCUGGAAAAUUCAUACAUCACACAAGUGACUCUUCUGUGCCUGAAUUCAUAGUUAUCCUUAGUGAUGAAGAGCCUCCAGUGGACAGGGAGCAGAGCCAGCAGCUGCAAUAUCUUUCUGGAACAUCAGAGAAUUCAUCCGAGCAACAGGCAAGGGAUGAUGGAGAGGAACCAAGAGAAGAUGAUGGCGAUUGGCUCCUCUAUGAUUUUGAUCUUCCAUAUUGGUCAGAUGAGGACUCAGAGGUGAGG